CUCUGAUUUCUGAUAGCUUAUUUAUAUUUCUAUACCUCUGGAGUCCUGACCUUGGCUUGUUAUGACACCAGAUAUCUUUAUUUUCUCUCUAAGCAUUAAAGGGCCAUUCCUCACCCAUAACGCACUUAACUUGCAUGGGUGAGGAGUAUCCCAUUUCAAAGACACUUUAGAAAACUGCUGAUUUCUUUAAACAAAAUCAACCUUUUUACCCCUUGACUGUCUGAUUAGUUCCCCUGAGCUAACAGAAGUGGAGCAGGC